rnacentral:rRNA from 1 species
GUGAGGAAUAUUGCACAAUGGGCGAAAGCCUGAUGCAGCAACGCCGCGUGAGUGAUGAAGGCCUUUGGGUCGUAAAACUCUGUCCUUGGGGAAGAAAAAAAUGACGGUACCCUUGGAGGAAGCCCCGGCUAACUACGUGUCAGCAGCCGCGGUAAUACGUCGGGGGCAAGCGUUAUCCGGAAUUAUUGGGCGUAAAGAGUGCGUAGGUGGUUUUGUAAGCGUAGGGUGAAAGGCAGUAGCUCAACUAUUGUUAGCCCUGCGAACUGUGAGACUUGAGUGCAGGAGAGGAAAGUGGAAUUCCUAGUGUAGCGGUGAAAUGCGUAGAUAUUAGGAGGAACACCAGUGGCGAAGGCGACUUUCUGGACUGUAACUGACACUGAGGCACGAAAGCGUGGGUAGCAAACAGGAUUAGAAACCCGUGUAGUCC